UGGCUGUGAUGACAAAAACCGGACUUACGGCUGCCACUAAUUGUUUGUAGUAGAAUGAUUAAUGCUUCUGUAAGGUGUACGUGCUGAGCCAG